CUAGGUAUAAUCAGUGUCAGAACCCUGCUAUACUGUAUCCACGGUAACAGUAUGGGUAGGUCUAGGUAUAAUCAGUGUCAGAACCCUGCUAUACUGUAUCCACGGUAACAGUCUAGGUAGGCCUAGGUGUAAUCAGUGUCAGAACCCUGCUAUACUGUAUCCACGGUAACAGUAUGGGUAGGUCUAGGUAUAAUCAGUGUCAGAACCCUGCUAUACUGUAUCCACGGUAACAGUCUAGGUAGGUCUAGGUAUAAUCAGUGUCAGAACCCUGCUAUACUGGAUCCACGGUAAGUCUAGCUAGGUCUAGGUAUAAUCAGUGUCAGAACCCUGCUAUACUGUAUCCACAGUAACAGUAUGGGUAGGUCUAGGUAUAAUCAGUGUCAGAACCCUGCUAUACUGUAUCCACGGUAACAGUAUGGGUAGGUCUAGGUAUAAUCAGUGUCAGAACCCUGCUAUACUGUAUCCACGGUAACAGUCUAGGUAGGCCUAGGUGUAAUCAGUGUCAGAACCCUGCUAUACUGUAUCCACGGUAACAGUCUAGGUAGGUCUAGGUGUAAUCAGUGUCAGAACCCUGCUAUACCGUAUCCACGGUAACAGUCUAGGUAGGUCUAGGUGUAAUCAGUGUCAGAUCCCUGCUAUACUGUAUCCACGGUAACAGUCUAGGUAGGUCUAGGUGUAAUCAGUGUCAGAUCCCUGCUAUACUGUAUCCACGGUAACAGUAUGGGUAGGUCUAGGUGUAAAUCAGUGUCAGAACCCUGCUUUACCGUAUCCACGGUAACAGUCUAGGUAGGUCUAGGUGUAAUCAGUGUCAGAACCCUGCUAUACCGUAUCCACGGUAACAGUCUAGGUAGGUCUAGGUGUAAUCAGUGUCAGAACCCUGCUAUACCGUAUCCACGGUAACAGUCUGGGUAGGUCUAGGUGUAAUCAGUGUUUACCCUUCAUUAAAACACACAUCUUUCAUAGUGUGGUCCACUGCUCCCUUUCUAUCUAGUCACAUGCUUCUCAUAUUUCACUAGUCUUAUGAAAACUACAAACAAAAAUCCUAGGAAAAACGCAACA
ensembl:lncRNA